CCUCUUCUCCCUUAUGGCCCAUGUAGGCCCAAUAACCCCCGGGGGGGUUCCGGUAACCCCCCGGUACUCCGGUAAAAUCCAGAUUUCACCCGAAACGUUUCUAAUAUCCAAAUAUAGGCUUCCAAUAUAUCAAUCUUUAUGUCUCGACCAUUUCGAGACACCUCGUUAUGUCCGUGAUCACAUCCGGGACUCCGAACAACCUUCGGUACAUCAAAACACAAAAACCCUAAUUACGAUCGUCACCGAACUUUAAGCGUGCGGACCCUACGGGUUCGAGAACUAUGUAGACAUGACCGAGACACGUCUCCGGUCAAUAACCAAUAGCGGAACCUGGAUGCUCAUAUUGGCUCCUACAUAUUCUACGAAGAUCUUUAUCGGUCAGACCGCAUAACAACAUACGUUGUUCCCUUUGUCAUCGGUAUGUUACAUGCCCGAGAUUCGAUCGUCGGUAUCUUAAUACCUAGUUCAAUCUCGUUACCGGCAAGUCUCUUUACUCGUUCCAUAAUACAUCAUCCCGCAACUAACUUAUUAGUUGCAAUGCUUGCAAGGCUUGAGUGAUGUGCAUUACCAAGAGGGCCCAGAGAUACCUCUCCGACAAUCGGAGUGACAAAUCCUAAUCUCGAAAUACGCCAACCCAACAAGUACCUUCGGAGACACCUGUAGAGCACCUUUAUAAUCACCCAGUUACGUUGUGACGUUUGGUAGCACACAAAGUGUUCCUCCGGUAAACGGGAGUUGCAUAAUCUCAUAGUCAUAGGAACAUGUAUAAGUUAUGAAGAAAGCAAUAGCAACAAACUAAACGAUCAAGUGCUAAGCUAACGGAAUGGGUCAAGUCAAUCACAUCAUUCUCCUAAUGAUGUGAUCCCAUUAAUCAAAUGACAACUCAUGUCUAUGGUUAGGAAACAUAACCAUCUUCGAUCAACGAGCUAGUCAAGUAGAGGCAUACUAGUGACACUUUGUUUGUCUAUGUAUUCACACAUGUAUUAUGUUUCCGGUUAAUACAAUUCUAGCGUGAAUAAUAAACAUUUAUCAUGAUAUAAGGAAAUAAAUAAUAACUUUAUUAUUGCCUCUAGGGCAUCUUUCCUUCACUCCCAACUCUAGCUGCCCCCAUCUGCUUGGCCCCCUAGUCCGAGGAGGGGGGUCACAUCACUUAUGGUCCCAUUUGGCCCAAGUGGCUGCCAUCCCUUGGGUCAGCCACAUGGAUGUAGAUGGUUACAUAUAUUUAUAUUAUUACAAAUAUGUAGUCCAAUGCAAUCUACACGAGCUUCGCCUUGGAUCGCGAAACAUCACUAUGUGGUGAUGGCGAAAAAUUGAUUGUACCUUUGCAAGCCUUUGUCUCUCAAAAGUUUAUAUUCUUCCUACUUUUCUUGAUUUUUUAUGAGUUCGAGGAGGCUCCUCCAACUUCCAACAUAAAAUAUGCGAUCCCGCCCUUUUGCAAUUUACAAGUGCGUUAGCCCAAGAACUGUAUAAAAAAUAUUAAAUAGAACAAAGAAAGAAGGUAACUAAAAUCAAAAGGAUUAGAUAUGUUUAGGACUUUUUAGAGUCCUUCUAUAUAGCAUAAACACAAAUUCCCAUGAUUGUACUUGUUCCAGAAUCACGCUACAUUGCGAAAAGCCUUGCCAUUGGUAUUUUUACAAGUAAAUGUCACGAGUUCUUACAGACGGGUCAUCUGUCAAUGAUCUCUUUUCAUAGCCAACACGUGGGUGGAUAGUAGAUAUGAGAGAAGACCAUGCCAUCACCGAAAUGCAUGCCUUUGUUUAUUUACCAUCUAGAUGAGUUGUUUAUGUAUUUCUAUUCAGGGUUGUUUAUAUAAAUUAAUGCUUCUAAUAUGAUGCAAACACACAUGAAAAAUUGUAUGCAUGUAUGGGUGCACAGCUCCCUUGGUGCCUGACAUGGCCCAUUGUGUCUUUAGAACAAAUACUAAAUGUGGUUAGUGGGAUUAGUAUCUGGAGAUUAUUGUUCGGUAGGGAGUAGUAAACAGACCAAAAAGGACUAAAGUGCGUUUCCAUACGACAGCUGGGAAGCCAAUGGAAGAACACGUGCACAUGAGAACUAGUAGGUAGUGAAGUCCAGUCGGAUGUGUGUGUCUUGGAGCUGCGAGUUAGUCUAUAUCUACACACCCCCUAUGAACAAAGAUACAAAGAUAAUAUAGAUGAUGACUAGGCGGAUGAGUACUUCAUUGUGUUUCCUUAUAAUACUUCUUAUCAUCACUCAUUCACAUGUCAUGUAUGGAUGUGACGAUCUUUCCAUUUUACCUUUAUUAACAUCCUUUGUCAUGAUCGAUGCGAUUGCAUCUUGUAAGCAUGAUAACACAUUUGUUGGUUGGCACACAAAAGUCUGGAGCAAAGGAAGUAACUCCUUAACUUUUGCAAUUUUGGAAGGUGGAGUUGCUUGGUUGGUACACCUAAACCCGAAGCAAAUAUGUUACUAAUUUCUUUUCCAAGUUUGGAAGAUAGUAAGGGAGUGUUUGGUUCAUGUCCUGGACCAAAUUUGCCUGGCCUGAGACCUCCUUGAGAUCGGCCUGGACACUGUUUGGUUCGUGCCUGAGUACCUGAAGCUAGCCUGGCCUAGAAACGAAAAGACACCAUUAGCUUGUCUUGGGAAUAUCCCAUCAUCAUUAGCCUGGCUCAGGCUGACGAGAAAGGACGCCUAGUUGCUGCCUGGGUCUGCCUGGGAGUACUAAUCAUGUAUGGGAGGAUCAAAAGUAAAUUAAUAGGCUGAUGUGACAUGUGUAACCCAUCACCGAGUGUGGAGGCGAACCAAACAGGGCUUGCCUGCCCAGGCAUAAAGCUGUUGUUUCCCAGGCCCGAGCCAGGCGCUUGAAUUUUUCAGGCACGUCGUCCAGGACGGCAACCAAACAGCCCCUAAAUUACAAGCUCUAUCGUGGAGCACAAAAAAAUCAAGAGCAAAGUACGUUUCUAAAAGUUUGGAAGGGAGUAUAUUCUUGCUUGGUCGGUAUACAGAAGUCUGGGGCAAAGUAACUCCUUUCUUACAAAUUUGGAAAAUAGUAAAUGUGUGUCUAGUUGAUAUGCAAAAGUCCGGGUCAAAAUAAGUAACUUCUUCCUUUUCAUAAGUUUGGAAGAUGGUAAAUUCUUGUGGUUGGUCUACAGAAUUUAGGGGCAAAGUAAGUGACUUCUUUGUUUUUGUAAGUUUGGAAGAUCGUAAAUUCUUGUGGUUGAUCUACAUGAUUUAGGGGCAAAGUAAGUGGCUCCUUUUUUUCAAGUUUAGAAAAUAGUAAAUUAUUGUCUGGUUGGUGUGCUAGCAGAAGUCCAGGGCAAAGUAAGUAGUACAUUCUUGUCUGGUUGAUAUCUAGGGGCAAAGUAAGUAACUUCUUUCUUCUUGCAAGUUUGGAAGAUAGUAAAUUCUUACUUGGUGUUAUCAAAAAAUAGGGAACAAAAUAAGUGACUCCUUUCUUUGUCAUAAGUUUGGAAGGUAGUAAAUUCUUUUCUAGCAUAUACUAUUGUGCUUCAAAAUGCACAUGCAAAAUGUGAUUGCAUUGCGUUGGGUCGGAGCAACUAUCUUUCUUAUCCGUUUGUCCGAAAAUUAACUGGAGAACUAUCUUUUUUUACAGAUUAGGCAAAUCUUUUGCCUCCGCUUAAAAAAAGGUAGUCCUAUGUGACUUGUAGUGAUAAGAAAAAUAGAUGGAUUUUUGCAAAAAAAAAGAAUGGAAAUAAAACUGAGUAAUAGCCUUUUGCCCCCCAAAAAGAAUGUGAACAAAUGCACACAAAACCGAGAAUAUGCAGUGAAUAAGCGUGGUCGGCAGGCCGUAAAUUAACUGGAGAACUUUUUUUUACAGAUUAGGCAAAUCUUUUGCUUCCGUUUAAAAAAAUAGACUUAAGUGGCCUGUAGUUAUAAGAAAAAAUAGGAUGGGUUUUUGCAACAAAAAAAAGAUGGAAAUAAAACAGAGUAAUAGCCUUUUGACCCCAAAAAAGGAAUGUGAAGAAGUGCACACAAAACCGAGAAUUUGCAGUGAAUAAUUGUUGCCUUUAUUCUGCAAACAAACUGGGCUGGGCCUGCACAAAAUUAAUUGGCGGAUGCUGUGGCCCGUCAUCGACAAAAAAGGAAUGGGAAAAUAAUCGAAAAAAGCGUGGUCGGCAGGAUUCGAACCUGCGCGGGCAAAGCCCACAUGAUUUCUAGUCAUGCCCGAUAACCACUCCGGCACGACCACUUUGAUGCAACAUUCUCUUCUGAUAUCUUUACAUUCUGACUUUCUGUAGUGUGCAUUUUCCAUGUUCGAUGGGAUAAAUAUUUUUUUGUUGUUGUAAGAAAGCAGAGUAUAACGUCAUCCACAUGACGGUACUGAAGAUCGAACGCGGAGAUUUCAACAGUAAAGCUAAACAAAGCGAGACACAUUUGGCUAGACUUCGCUUCACUAGCUACCGCUUUUUCGUGCAUAUGUGUUCUUUCAUUUCGGCUGCCCACCUGUUGUAGGAAAAUGCAUUCUGCCUUUUCAUAGUUCGGUAAUUAUUUGUAGCAAACAACCCCCCAAGUAUUAUUUGUCAUGUAAGGCUUGGGAGGUAUAUGGAACACGUUGCACUUUCAAGAAUCUCUACAUUCAGUUUCAUGCGCAACAAAAUAUUACAAUUAUAUGAUGGGCAUUUUCGUGUGUUCAAUAAUGUGUGCCACCUCCAUCUUCUUUUUGAGCCUUCCAAACAAGCGACUUUGAGGAACAAAUAGACAGCGAAAAAAGAGAUGAUGACUACGGAGGUAAGUUCUUCAUUUCGUUUCCAUGUAGUCCUCUUUAUUGCCACUCAUUCACACUCCACAUAGGGCUUCAACGUCUAUUCCCAUUGCAUUGUUAUUCUCACCACAUCAUUUUGUCGAUGCCAUUGCAUAUCGUGAGCAUGAUAAUGUACACAUUAAUUGGUAUACAAAAGCUAGGAAGAAAGUUAGUAAAUUGUUUAUUUUUGCGGGUUUGGAAUGUAGUACAUUAUUGCCUUGUAAUAUGUUGCAAAAUGCAUAUGAAUUUUGUGAUUAAAUAUGUCAUGGAUCUGCACAAUUUCCUUGCUGGCUGCUGUGGCCCAUCAUGGCCUUCAGAUCAAGAUGAAACAUGGUUGUCGACAUUAAAAUCUAGAGGUUGUUUGGUAGAGAGUAGUGACCUAACCGGAAAAAGGCCAGAGUGCACUUUCCCACUACAGGUGUGAAGCCGAAACGGAAGACCAUGAAAAAUAGUAGGCAAUGACAUGCAAUCCAUCCAAACGAUUUUGGUGUAUAGUGUAGGAUUGACUAAUCCAUCUAUAGCUUCAUAUCCUUUGUCAUCUUAAUCUCCAUGGGUCGACGAAAAAGAUAGAUGAUGACUAUGUAGUCAUCAUUCAUCUUUAUCUCCUGGCUCCAUGAAACCAAAAAAAAAAAAGAUAAGGGAUAGAUAGAUGAUGACUAUGCAAGCUAGUACUCCAUUUUGUUUUGUUUUGUUUGUUUCCAUUACGAUGUUUUCUAUUAUUACACGCAACAUACUACUCAGAAAUUGUGAUUUGUGGUGAGUAAUAAUGUAUUCAGGCAAUGACGAAAAGUUCUAUUUCUAUUAUUAUUUUCAAGUACUGGCCUUCCCCAAGAAGCAAACAAUAAUGUAUAUGGGAUGUGCAGUGAUAAAAAAAUAUAAGGAAAACAAACCCAGUAGGUAGUGAGUAAUUGUCGCCUCAUACGACGACACUGCAAGAUGCCCAUGAAAAUUGUGAUUUAAUUUUGGUCGGGCCUUCACGAAAUCCUUGUUAGUCGCUAUUUGGUUUGGACUUACACAAAAAUCUUGGUGGAUGUGGCCCAUCAUACUUUCAAAACAAAAUAAAAAGAUUGAAAACUACUUUCAGGUAUACUAGGUGCAAACUUAAACAAUCUCAACUAAAAAACUAUACCUUUUUACUUGAUGUGAAGAAAAAUAGAUAUUACGCAUGCAGAUUAACAACCAUCUACUCGAUAGUUUUGGAAUUUUAAUUGGAAAAAAUAAAACACGAAUAACAUUUGAAUGACAUAAUUGUGGCUUUCCAAUCCAGAACCACAAUCUCCAUCUCACACACAUCAAUUAUUUGUUUAUAUAAGUAAAAGCUUUCAACUCAAAACACCCAAUUUUGAUGGGGGAACUUUCUACUUGUAAGUUGCGUUGGGAAUUUUUUUUCGAAGAGGAAGGGUGAAGCAAUAUAGUAGCUGGUAAGUAUUUCUAUCAGUGAGAACCAAUGUUAUCGAACCAAUAGUAGAAUCAUACAAAGCCUAGUGAACAGCACCUACACACACAAGUGCAAAUACUUGCACCCAACGCGGGCAAGAUGGUUGACAAUUGCAAAGUAAAAUAAAAAGAGUACAAUUGCAGCAAGGUAUUUUUGGUUUUAGUAAUAUGAUAAAAGUAGACCCGGGGGCCAUAGUUUCCACUACGACCUUCUCUCUUCAAACAUAGCAUAUGGCGGGUACACAAAAUAUUGUUGGACAACUGAUAGAAAAGGCGCAUAGUUAUGAUAAUAUUCAUGACAUGAUCAUAGCUACGGAUUAAGCGAAGAUUGGCUAAGGACGAGGUGACGAUGCGCGUGGGAAAUGGUUCCAAAGUCGAUGUGAUCGCGGUCGGCGCGCUACCUCUACAUCUACCUUUGGGAUUAGUAUUAGACCUAAAUAAUUGUUAUUUGGUGCCAGCGUUGAGCAUGAACAUUAUAUAUGGGUCUUGUUUGAUGCGAGACGGUUAUUCAUUUAAAUCAAAGAAUAAUGGUUGUUCUAUUUAUAUGAGUAAUAUCUUUUAUGGUCAUGCACCCUUGAAGAGUGGUCUAUUUUUGAUGAAUCUCGAUAGUAGUGAUACACAUAUUCAUAAUGUUGAAAUCAAAAGAUGCAGAGUUGAUAACGAUAGUGCAACUUAUUUGUGGCACUGCCGUUUAGGUCAUAUUGGUGUAAAGCGCAUGAAGAAACUCCAUACUGAUGGACUUUUGGAACUACUUGAUUAUGAAUCACUUGGUACUUGCGAACCGUGCCUCAUGGGUAAGAUGACUAAUACGCCGUUCUCCGGUACUAUGGAGAGAGCAACGGAUUUGUUAGAAAUCAUACAUACAGAUGUAUGUGGUCUAAUGAAUGUUGAGGCUCGUGGCGGAUAUCGUUAUUUUCUCACCUUCACAGAUGAUUUAAACAGAUAUGGGUAUAUCUACUUAAUGAAACAUAAGUCUGAAACAUUUGAAAAAUUUAAAGAAUUUCAGAGUGAAGUUGAAAAUCAUCAUAACAAGAAAAUAAAGUUUCUACGAUCUGAUCGUGGAGGAGAAUAUUUGAGUUACGAGUUUGGUCUACAUUUGAAACAAUGCAGAAUAGUUUCGCAACUCACGCCACCCGGAACACCACAGCGUAAUGGUGUGUCCGAACGUUGUAAUCGUACUUUAUUAGAUAUGGUGCGAUCUAUGAUAUCUCUUACUAAUUUACUGUUAUCAUUUUGGGGUUAUGCUUUAGAGACGGCUGCAUUCUCGUUAAAUAGGACACCAUCGAAAUCCGUUGAGACGACGCCUUAUGAACUGUGGUUUGGCAAGAAACCAAAGUUGUCGUUUCUGAAAGUUUGGGGCUGCGAUGCUUAUGUGAAAAAGCUUCAACCUGAUAAGCUCGAACCCAAAUCGGAGAAAUGUGUCUUCAUAGGAUACCCAAAGGAGACUGUUGGGUAUACCUUCUAUCACAGAUCCGAAGGCAAAACUUUUGUUGCUAAAUUCGGAGUUUUUCUAGAGAAGGAGCUUCUCUCGAAAGAAGUGAGUGGGAGAAAAGUAGAACUUGAUGAGGUAACUGUACCUGCUCCCUUAUUGGAAAGUAGUACAUCACAGAAACCAGUUUCUGUGACACCUACACCAAUUAGUGAUGAAGCUAAUGAUAAUGAUCAUGAAACUUCAGAUCAAGUUACUACCGAACCUCGUAGAUCAACCAGAGUAAGAUCCGCACCAGAGUGGUACGAUAAUCCUGUUCUGGAAGUCAUGCUACUAGAUCAUGAUGAACCUACGAACUAUGAAGAAGCGAUGGUGAGCCCAGAUUCCGCAAAAUGGCUAAAAGCCAUGAAAUCUGAGAUGGGAUCCAUGUAUGAGAACAAAGUGUGGACUUUGGUUGACUUGCCCGUUGAUCGGCAAGCAAUUGAGAAUAAAUGGAUCUUCAUGAAGAAGACUGACGCUGACGGAAAUGUUACUGUCUACAAAGCUCGACUUGUUGCAAAAGGUUUUCGACAAGUUCAAGGGAUUGACUACGAUGAGACCAUCUCACCCGUAGCGAUGCUUAAGUCUGUUCGGAUCAUGUUAGCAAUUGCCGCAUUUUAUGAUUAUGAAAUUUGGCAAAUGGAUGUCAAAACUGCAUUCCUGAAUGGAUUUCUGGAAGAAGAGUUGUAUAUGAUGCAACCAGAAGGUUUUGUCGAUCCAAAGGGAGCUAACAAAGUGUGCAAGCUCCAGCGAUCCAUUUAUGGACUGGUGCAAGCCUCUCGGAGUUGGAAUAAUCGUUUUGAUAGUGUGAUCAAAGCAUUUGGUUUUGUACAGACUUUUGGAGAAGCCUGUAUUUACAAGAAAGUGAGUGGGAGCUCUGUAGCAUUUCUGAUAUUAUAUGUGGAUGACAUAUUAUUGAUUGGAAAUGAUAUAGAAUUUCUAGAUAGCAUAAAGGGAUACUUGAAUAUGAGUUUUUCAAUGAAAGACCUCGGUGAAGCUGCUUACAUAUUGGGCAUUAAGAUCUAUAGAGAUAGAUCAAGACGCUUAAUUGGACUUUCACAAAGCACAUACCUUGACAAGGUUUUGAAGAAGUUCAAAAUGGAUCAAGCAAAGAAAGGGUUCUUGCCUGUGUUACAAGGUGUGAAGUUGAGUAAGACUCAAUGUCCGACCACCAUAGAAGAUAGAGAGAAAAUAAAAAAUGUUCCCUAUGCUUCAGCCAUAGGCUCUAUCAUGUAUGCAAUGUUGUGUACUAGACCUGAUGUGUGCCUUGCUAUAAGUCUAGCAGGGAGGUACCAAAGUAAUCCAGGAGUGGAUCACUGAACAGCGGUCAAGAACAUCCUGAAAUACCUGAAAAGGACUAAGGAUAUGUUUCUCGUAUAUGGAGGUGACAAAGAGCUCAUCGUAAAUGGUUACGUUGAUGCAAGCUUUGACACUGAUCCGGACGAUUCUAAAUCGCAAACCGGAUACAUGUUUUUACUGAACGGUGGAGCUGUCAGUUGGUGCAGUUCUAAACAAAGCGUCGUGGCGGGAUCUACAUGUGAAGCGGAGUACAUAGCUGCUUCGGAAGCAGCAAAUGAAGAAGUCUGGAUGAAGGAGUUCAUAUCCGAUCUAGGUGUCAUACCUAGUGCAUCGGGUCCAAUGAAAAUCUUUUGUGACAAUACUGGUGCAAUUGCCUUGGCGAAGGAAUCCAGAUUUCACAAGAGAACCAAACACAUCAAGAGACGCUUCAAUUCCAUUCGGGAUUUAGUCCAAGUGGGAGACAUAGAAAUUUGCAAGAUACAUACGGAUUUGAAUGUUGCAGACCCGCUGACUAAGCCUCUUCCACGAGCAAAACAUGAUCAGCACCAAGACUCCAUGGGUGUUAGAAUCAUUACUGUGUAAUCUAGAUUAUUGACUCUAGUGCAAGUGGGAGACUGAAGGAAAUAUGCCCUAGAGGCAAUAAUAAAGUUAUUAUUUAUUUCCUUAUAUCAUGAUAAAUGUUUAUUAUUCAUGCUAGAAUUGUAUUAACCGGAAACAUAAUACAUGUGUGAAUACAUAGACAAAAACAGAGAGUCACUAGUAUGUCUCUACUUGACUAGCUCGUUAAUCAAAGAUGGUUAUGUUUCCUAACCAUAGACAUGAGUUGUCAUUUGAUUAACGGAAUCACAUCAUUAGGAGAAUGAUGUGAUUGACUUGACCCAUUCCGUUAGCUUAGCACUUAAUCGUUUAGUUUGUUGCUAUUGCUUUCUUCAUAACUUAUAUAUGUUCCUAUGACUAUGAGAGUAUGCAACUCCCGUUUACCGGAGGAACACUUUGUGUGCUACCAAACGUCACAACGUAACUGGGUGAUUAUAAAGGUGCUCUACAGGUGUCUCCGAGCCAGAUCCAAUCGAGAAAGUUUGAUCAUUUAUGCUCCGUCAAAGGACAAGCUCCUCAGUCAUCGAGCCAGAUCCAAUCGAGGAGGGGUGAUCGUUUGCGCAAAAAAUCUUGCUCCCAAAGUAUAAGCUCAUCCGUCACCGAGCUAGAUGCAAGCGAGGAAGGUUCAUUGUUUGCGCAGAAAAUCUCGCUUUGCUAAAGAGCAGCUCAUCCGUCACCGAGGUAGAUCCGAUCGAGGAGGGUUGAUUGUUUGCGUGGGAAAUCUUGCUCCGCCAAAGAGCAAGCUCAUCCGUCAACGAGCCAGAUCCAAUUGAGGAAGGUUCAUCGUUUGCACAGAAAUUCUCACUCAGCCAAAGAGCAAGCUCAUUGGUCACCGAGUCAAAUCCAAUCAAGGAGGGUUGAUCAUUUAUGCUCCAUCAAAGGACAUGCUCUCUGUCACUGAGCCAGACCCAGUUGAGGAAGGUUCAUUGUUUGCACAGAAAUUCUCGGUCAGCCAAAGAGCAAGCUCAUCGGUCACCGUGUCAGAUCCAAUCAAGGAGGGUUGAUCGUUUAUGCUCCAUCAAAGGACAUGCUCUCUGUCACCGAGCCAGGCCCAAUUGAGGAAGGUUGGUCAUUAUCGUAGAAAUCUCAUGGUCGGGCUGGAAGGAGAACACUCCUAUGGUCCUAAUGACAACCAUGAGAAUGUCCGCCAUUUUUUCAUGUCAUUCUCAACGGUGAUGUAUAUGUAGCUUACUUUUUUUCCCAAGCAUAACUUUACCUCUUUUUUCCCAAGCAUAACUUUACCUCUUUUUCCCCCUAUUUUCUAGCAUGUUAAAUUUACUCUCCCAAAUCUCAUGGUUAGGUUGGAAGGAAAUAUUACUAAACUCAAGCCAUCCAUCGUCGAGCCAGAUUGAGGAGUUCAGUGGCGGAGACAGGGGGGGCAGCAGGGGCCCUGGCCCCCCUGACAUUGGAAAUUUGCUGCUAAUUCACUGAUGAACAGUGCAUAAUUAGCAAUACUUUAAUGCUAAAAGUGUAUUUUCCUAUGCUUUGGCCCUCCUUAACCUACUUUGACGGCACUUGGCCCUUCUGAUCCAUAUUUCCUGGCUCCGCCACUAGAGGAGUUGCCUAGAAUUCUCAUGGUCAGGUCAAAAGGAAACAUUGCCGUCGUCGAGCCAGAUCUGAUCGAGGAAGGCAGUGUGCCCACGCGUAAAUCCCAUGGUUAGCUUGGAAGGAAACGAUCCUAGUGACAACCACAUGUCCAUCGCCUGAUCCUCUCCUUCUCGACAGCGAAAUGUACGUUUUUUUACCAUCUUAAAUUUACCGCAUGUUUUGUUUCGACCCUGGUCCUAUUUCUGCCAUUUUAUUUUGUAUCUUUCCACCAUAAAUUCACAUUAGUUUUAUUUCCUGCGAUGAUGGUCCUACUUUUAUACAUUAUAUUAAUUUCAUUUUGCCUAUUCAUUUUUAUUUGCUUAUCUUUACUAUUAGAUCCUAACAUUAAAUGAGAGUUGGGGAUUAGACGCGUGCACGUCGCUUACUUCCUCCCCGCCCACCGCCUCUCCUGGACCCCGUCCCCUCCCCAGGGACGGCACCGGUAGGGGCGAGCCGGGGAUUGUACGUUUAUAUGCCACCUCCCCUGGACCCCUCCUCCCCAGGGACGACACUGGUAGGGGCAAACUGGGGACGGUAUGUUUGCACACCGCCUCCCUUAGAUCCCCCCUCCCCAAGGACCGCCCUAGUAGGGGGUGAGUCGAGCCCAUGGCUCUCCCCACCGCCUCCCCCAGAUACGAAUGCACCUAACACUAAAACAUGUGCACAUACAUCCAUAUCUAAACAAAUCCGAGACAACUAAUUCGGGACGGGCGAAGCACAUGUUACAUCCUCCCCCACCGAUUCUCCUCGAAAACCCGCCUUAAACGGCCCACCUUUAUCGACUCACCAAAAAAAAAUCACGUUUUCUUUGGCAAGCCACAAAACACGUACCAAAAAAAUAAAUAAGAUGAUAUACUUCUAGUUUAUUAUGUCGGCAGAUAUAUCAGGGACAAGAUCUCGUUCGCCAAACACUCAUUUACACAAUCGCAUUAGCCUUAAAAAUUAAUGUAAGUUAUUUUAGCCUUAAUUGUAUGGAUUAACAAAAGGAAAGUUAGGACAAUGUAGCUUCCCUAACAUCCCUUGUGUAUGUUAGAGGAUCCGGUUCCCCAAGAUUGAUGCCUGCCAGAUAGAUUAGCCUGUCCGGUCAGCUCACAUCCCAUCCGUCCAUCAGAUCAGAUCAGAUCAACCAGCAGUAAACAAAAUUUUACAGCAGCGAGAGGGAGACCAAAGCCCAAUCCAAUCUGAAGCAAGGGCAGUCCCGUCAUUUCGCCCCCCUCCACUUUCGCCUUGCCGCGCUCCCUCCCCGCCCUCCCCCCGAAACCCCAACCCCCACCCCGCCCACGCCGUCCCACCCCGCCCCCACUGACGCCCCGGGCCCAGCUCCGGCGAGCCCCACCCAUCNNNNNNNNNNNNNNNNNNNNNNNNNNNNNNNNNNNNNNNNNNNNNNNNNNNNNNNNNNNNNNNNNNNNNNNNNNNNNNNNNNNNNNNNNNNNNNNNNNNNNNNNNNNNNNNNNNNNNNNNNNNNNNNNNNNNNNNNNNNNNNNNNNNNNNNNNNNNNNNNNNNNNNNNNNNNNNNNNNNNNNNNNNNNNNNNNNNNNNNNNNNNNNNNNNNNNNNNNNNNNNNNNNNNNNNNNNNNNNNNNNNNNNNNNNNNNNNNNNNNNNNNNNNNNNNNNNNNNNNNNNNNNNNNNNNNNNNNNNNNNNNNNNNNNNNNNNNNNNNNNNNNNNNNNNNNNNNNNNNNNNNNNNNNNNNNNNNNNNNNNNNNNNNNNNNNNNNNNGUCACCCGCCCCCCCACCGCACCCAUCACGCGCGGGCCUAGAAAUAGGGGCGACGGACGGAGGAAUGGAGGGCGACCGUCUCCGUCCCCGUCCCCGUCCCCAAAUCAAAAUUUCAAACUUUCCCGUCCCCCUCCCCAUUCCCCACUCCCCAAAACCCUAGCGCGCCCCCCUCGCCGCCGCCGGGGAGAGUGAGGAUGCCGGACCUGCCGUGCGACGGGGACGGGGUGUGCAUGGUGUGCCGGGCCGCGGCGCCGCCGGAGGUCGAGCUGCUGCGGUGCGCCACCUGCGCCACGCCCUGGCACUCGCCCUGCCUCUCCAAGCCGCCCGCGCUCGCCGACGCCGCCGCCUGGGCCUGCCCCGACUGCUCCGGCGAGGACGCCUCCCCCUCAGCGGCCCCCGCCCCCGCCCCCACCGCCGCGCCCGGGGGCGCCGGCGGGGGGUCCGGCCUCCUCGCCGCCAUCCGCGAGAUCGAGGCGGACGCCUCCCUCACCGAGCAGGAGAAGGCCAAGCGCCGCCAGGAGCUGCUCGGCGGCAAGACCGCCGUCGCCGGCGAUGACGACGAGGAUGAGGAGGAGCAGGACGAGGACAACGCGCUCGAGAUCGUCGGCAAGAACUUCAGCUGCGUCUUCUGCAUGAAGCUCCCCGAGCGCCCCGUCACCGUGAGCAAUCCCCUCCCCUCCCCGUGUUUUACUCCGCGUCAGUUUUCGAAUAAAUGCCCAUGAUUAUAUCCACUACCAUCCCGCAACUAUUCACUGUAUAAUAUCCGCGGCGCGGAUAGAUCUCCCGGCGCUCGCUGCAAAAUAUGAUCUUCUCGUGCGCGCUUGUUGUCAUAAUGGUUAAAUCCCGCAUCAUUAGAUGCGCCCUGCGGCGGCAGUAAUGAUCCAUCAUCUUCCUCUGGGUCACUGCAUCCAUUUCUCCCCGCAUAAUCAUCACUCAUCGUCCUCUUUAUGCCGUCUCGGACGCUCUAACAUCCAUUGAUUUCAGUUUGUUCAGAUGUGCUUUUGCGGCCUUCUCUUUUUUGGUUUGAUGUAGCUGUAAUGUAAUUUCAACAUCAGUAAUCUACUUUAUUUUAAUAUAUGCGUGUUCUGUGCUUGCCUAUAGUCAGAUAGGAGCAGAGGAUCACGGCCUCCCCUGCUGUCAGAUAAUCCCCUGAUAAUUAGACGCACCCACUAGUAAUGACCCAUCUUUGCCUUGGUCAUUGCUUCCAUUGCUCACAUCUGCACAUAUAAUCCAUAGCAUUAGGACAGCUGUGAUCUAUUUGUUGUUAUUGUUACAUCAUCAUUUAUUUUCUGAUGACGGCUUGCGUGCUCGGUGCUUGUCUGUAGUUAGAUAGGAGUAAAGUAUCAUGACCUCGUCUGUUUGUAGGCUUAAUCACCUGUGUACUUUUAUAACAGCAUGAAUGGUGUUUACCUGGGAGCGUUGUUCAGCAUUGCUUACAUGUGCGCAUAUGAAUCCUAGCUCUGCAACAGCUGCAGUCUUUUUGUUGUUAUUACUGCAGCACCAUGUGUUUUUCUGAUGAUGGCAGUUUGGUGCUUGUCUGUAGUCAAAUACUCCCUCCGUUCUGAAUUACUCGUCGCAGAAAUGGAUGUAUCUAGAUGUAUUUUAGUUCUAGAUACAUCCAUUUCUAUGACGAGUAAUUUGGAACGAAGGGAGUAGGAGUAAAUGAUUGCAUCUUUGUCUGUUGUUGGGUAAUCACCUGUAAGCUUUAACAGUUGCUAAAAAUUGUAGUAACCUGGCCACUUGACCCAGGGGAGCUCCUGUGGUGGUGUUUUAAAUGAUAUCUGGAUAGUCUGGUCAAGUGUAAUGUCAUUUGCAACUUACUGUAGAUGGCCUUGCUGUCCUGCUCCUUUUGCUGGUUUGUUAAGUCUAUUCACCUUUUUUUGGUUUGUCUGUGCCUUGGACUGCUAAUGCACAGUCUGUUGACCAAAUGAUUUGAUUCUCCCUGAUAUUUGCUAGUAUCUUGUACUGCCUAGGGUAUUUUGUCUGUUUUUUGUGUGGCAAAGUGAUUACAUACAUGAUCUAUGCUGCAGUUCAAGGGGUGAAAACAUCAUCAUGCUAUAUGAAUGAAGUAAUGUUUGUUAUACACAAAUCUCCAAACUCCUUCAAUGUUGAUUAGCAGAGUAUUAAUAUACAACUAAAGUGAAUGAUACCUGGCAUUGGCUACUCUUUGGUUUCUUUUGAGAGUUUGCUGAAAGCAUGGUUUCAUGUUUCCUUUCAUCAUGAAUGCCACUUUAAAUUGAGUCAGGUUUAGCUACAUAUCUUAGCCAGCUGGCAUACUGUGUUGGGCUAAGUCCUUGAACCUAGAUGGCUGGGUUUACAACCAUGUGUUCCUUGCCAUUGCACCCCUGGAGUCCUGAAUAUUUAUUUGAGUUCAUGGUUUACCACCUGCCUAUGCAUGUUCCUCCCAAUUUGUGAUUCCAGUCAAUAUGUUGUUUGACCAACAGGCUUCAUCAUAGUUAUUGGCUAGCUCUUGAUCUGUACCACCUACUUUGGUUGGUUGGACCAGGGCAUGUGAAGCACCCUUUGCCCUUUUGGUUUGUAAUCUUAGAUUGCUGAUACCCUCUGCUGGCAUAAAAGGUUGCUUGCCAUAGCCUCUCUUUGACAUGCUUCUGGACACAUGCAUAGCCUUUUAACUGUCACUAUAUUUGAAAGGAGGCUGUUACUUGUCAUGUCCGCACACUUUUUAAGCUGAAAACUAUGAUUACUUCUGUUUAUAAUCUGUCAGUAACGAUUUCUACUUGUGUUUUUAUUUGAUGUUAUGUUUGAUUAUGAUUUCAUAUUUAAGCUUUCCUUGUAUGUUCUUUUUCUGUUCUAAAUACUUUACUCAGGAUAACAAUACUCCUGCCUACUAUAUAUUUGGUGCUAUCUCUGUUCACUACAUUCUACUUUUGAAUCUUUGUAGACACCGUGUGGCCACAACUUCUGUUUGAAAUGCUUUGAGAAGUGGGUUAACAGUGGAAAAAGGACCUGUGGAAAAUGCCGGGGACCAAUCCCAUCCAAAAUGGCUUCGCAGCCAAGGAUUAAUGCAGCGUUGGUUGCGGUUAUCCGUAUGGCUAGGACUGCAAAGAAUGCUAGUGCAGGUGGCUCUGGAAAUCCUGUUCAUUACAUAAGAAAUGAGGCUAGACCCGACAAGGCUUUCACAACUGACAGAGCAAAGAAGGCUGGGAAAGCUAAUGCUUCAAGUGGCCAGAUCUUUGUGACCAUUGCACCUGAUCAUUUUGGCCCCAUUCCAGCAGAAAACGACCCCAAAAGGCGUCUUGGUGUGUUAGUCGGGGAAACCUGGGAAGACCGCCUUGAGUGCAGGCAGUGGGGUGCUCAUUUCCCUCAUGUUGCUGGUAUUGCUGGCCAGUCAGAACAUGGUGCCCAGUCAGUGGCGCUGUCAGGUGGUUACAUAGAUGAUGAGGACCAUGGGGAGUGGUUCCUGUAUACUGGAAGGUUAGCUAGUUUACUCACUUGCUAUCAUUUUACUUCCGUGUCUGAUCCUACACGUGAGCACUUAUUUCUGUGAAUAAUUUGUACUGACAGUGGUGGAAGAGACCUAAGUGGGAACAAGCGAACAAACAAGGAGCAAUCUUCUGAUCAGAAAUUUGACAAGAUGAAUGCUGCUCUGCGUCUUAGUUGCAAGAAGGGUUACCCUGUCAGGGUUGUGCGGUAUGUUUUUCUUGCCAUAAUUAUUUCCUCAAAUAUAUCAGCGUUUGAUAAGUCCGUAGUUGAUAUCACAGUUACACUCUAGCCUGACAGUGUUAAUACUGUUAAUUAUUCCCUUACCUUGAAUAGUUUUAUGUUGUUACAUGUGCUGCAUAUAUGGAGACCAUCCACUGUUCUGCUUAAAUUUGUUAUCUAUUAUUUAUAUCAUCAUCCUAUUUAUAUUUGACUACACUAUCUUAAAAAGGUCCCACAAAGAGAAGCGUUCUUCAUAUGCUCCUGAAACUGGUGUGCGUUAUGAUGGAGUCUACAGGAUUGAGAAAUGCUGGAGGAAGAUUGGUGUUCAGGUAAUUUUACACCCUGUGCAGAGGUUCAACAUUGCUUUUCUCUAUUUUGUGCCACUGAAUGGAAGAUAAUGUAUAUUCUUUUGAUUUCUGUCUCAGGGUACAUACAAGGUCUGCAGGUACCUCUUUGUACGAUGCGACAAUGAACCAGCUCCAUGGACCAGGUUUGACAAAGCUAUUACAUUUUGUUUUGGCAAUAUGCUUUUGUCUUGAAAAGAAGUGGCAUUACUUACACUGAUGUUGUGGUAUCUGGGUUUUAGUGAUCUUCAUGGUGACCGGCCAAGGCCACUGCCCAGGAUUAAGGAGCUGCAAGGUGCUACUGACAUCACUGAACGGGCAGGAUCCCCCUCCUGGGACUAUGUUGUAUGUCCAUGCGAUUUUCUUCUUCUGAUGUUUUCACUUACAGGCAUACAUCAUCACCACUGAUCGAUCUUUAUCUGUUUGUUAUAGGAAAAUGAAGGCUGGAAGUGGGUGAAGCCUCCACCAAUCAGCAAGAAGCCCGCCCAGUCAGGCGAUCCUGAAACUGACAAGCAAUUCAGGAAAUACCAGAAGCGUGCUCAUAUGUCUAUGAAUGAGAGGCUGUUGAAGGGUUAGUUUUUAUGCCGUGUGUUUUGAUUGCUACGCUCUGUUUGGCUUAAAUAGCUGAAAUCUAUUCCAAGCAUUCAUUCUCCUAAUGCGUGCUUGUGUUUGUUUGGUCAUGUGCAGAGUUUGGCUGCUCCAUUUGCAAGAAUUUGAUGAAGGAACCACUUACUACUCCCUGUGGUCAUAACUUCUGCAAAGCUUGUUUGACCGCUGCAUUUGGUGACGAGGGUUCUAUGAGGGAAAGAAGCAGGGGCGGGCGCACUCUGCGGGCACAGAAGAUUGUGAAGAACUGCCCCUCCUGCCCAACUGAUAUUUGCGACUUCCUGGAGAACCCACAGGCAUGUAAUUGAAACACAAGUCUGUUGAAGCAUGUUUUAAAGUAUGUUUACUGAUGGACGCCUUCUGUUAUUUGUGUUGCAGAUUAACAUAGAGAUGAAGGAUCUGAUUGACAAUCUGCUUGCCAAGGCUGCCAAGGAGAAGCCAGACGCGGAGGGAUCUGCUGAGGAAAAUGAUGAUGAUGAGGAUGCUCUGGAGAAGGAAGAGGAGGAUGACAGCAGCCUGAACGAGGAAGAGAAUGAUGAUGGUGCUGAGAACAAGGCUGGAGAAGAGGAUGCUGUCGUCACAAUCGUGGUUGAGGCCAAGGAUGAGCUGAAGAAGCCUCUGAGGCGCAAGGGAGCUGAGGAGGAGGCCAAAGAUGAGAAGAAGAUCAAGACCACUGCUGGUGCUCCUGAUGUGGAAAAUGCAGCUGAAGAAGACGCCGAGAUGGUUGAAAAGGAGGAAGAAGAAGGUUCCCAGAAGGCUCAGAAGAAGCGCAAGGGGCGUGCUGGGACCGCAGCUGGCGGCGGUAAGAGGAAGAGGGCCAGCCCUGCUGCUGCUGAAGAGAAGGCCGCCGCAGCUGGUGGCGGUAAGAGGAAGAAGGCAAGCCCUGCUGCAGCUGAAGAGACCCCUGCUGCUGCAAGCACCCCUCGCCGGGCGACCAGGAGUGGCGGUGUGGUGGUGGCUGGUGGGAGCCCUGCUUCCAGGACCAGGAGCAACACCAAGGCCGACAACUGAAGCUCCGUUGAAGAAGAGGAGCGGCGCCGAGGCUGAUGCCCACCAUUGAAGAAGAAGCUCCGUUUUUUGGCUGGUCGCGUAUUAUAUAUAUAGUUUAUAUUUAUCCGGAAGACUGUUUUAUCCGUUGUGUCUUGUCCCGAGACUUGGUUGCUGCUGCUGGCACUUAUUUUGGGUCGGAACCUUGUAGUUAAGUUCCUGCUAUAUGGAUCCUGGAUAUUAUCUAUCAGGUUAUGGUUAUGAUGAUGAUGCUUGAACUAUAUUUACUGGUGUGAUUGUUUGUUUCUUUCUUUCUGCUGCAUCU
rnacentral:lncRNA from 1 species